GAGAGGAAGAAAUCAUAUAUUUGAUAAAAUUGUUGGAUUCCAAUAAUGGAUAUUACACGAGGACAUAGUCCAAAUGUGAUACGUAAUCUAAAUAUUUUCUUGACAACGAAACUCAAACUGAAGGCAUCCAUCAACAUCCGUACAACUUAUCAAAAACUUAACCGAGGAACAUCAUCCAACAAGAACAUCCCCUACAACUUUAUUAAAAUGGAAGGCCUCCAUCAUCAUCAUCAUCAUCAUCACCAUCAUCAUCAUCAUCAUCAUGAAUGAACUCCUAAAGCUUAGCUUGUAAAUAUCUGAUUUGUGAUUUAAGUUCCUGUCGUCGUACAACAGAAAUUAACAAUUAUAUUGUUUUUCAACAAUGCAAGAAUCCUCCUCCAAGCCUUCGCAACAUAAUAGGCAGAAUUUUCUUCAAACAUUGUAAAAAAGGCUAGUAAGGUUAUUCUACAAUGCACACUAGUCAUCAACCCAAUAAUGGGCUAACAUUUUUGUGUUUCCACCAAUUGUUAGCUAGAAAUAACUACUAUCAUGAUCUGAAAUUGUUAGGUCAGAUGUGACAUCAGAAUGGUUUCUCCUUAUGCUAUUUAUCUUUAAGAAAAAGCAGAAAUUAGAGAGAAAUUAUGUAUGAUUGGAGACGAGAUUCCUCCCCAACUGAUGACGUUGGACAAAAGAGGUGCUGCAGAAUAAGAAUACACUUAUCAAGACGCCUGGUCAGUACAAAGUCAUGAUACAAUCAAACAAAAAAACACCCAAAACAAAUCAUGACUAAAAUUUGAUAGUGAAUAGUUAGCAAAACACACUUGAUGAGAAAUUCAUACAUGUAGAAAUUGUAUAAGACCAUCACAAAAUAUUCAGCUUAUAUGAGUGAUGCUUGCAUCAAAUUUCUUAAUGUAUAUAUACAACUGUAUACUCAACUCUAGAUACAUAUCUAAUAUGUCGAAUAUUUUAUACGAUAGGAUUUCUCUAAGCCAUCCAGUAUGUUUUACCAUGUACAUUGUCUCUCUUUUUUUGCCUAAAGUAUACACAGUCAGCACCCUAUAAAUUCCUAGUGUAUAUAUACCAAAGGACACAUCAAGGAGUUUAAUUCUGUUAUCACAUGGUAGAAAACUCUAGUACAAUAAUGGGAUAACAUGCUAACUUGUUGGAGAAAAAAGAUAGAUGCAAUCGACAUGUGCAAACUUCUUUCCAUGAAUACUUCUGCAUGGCACAAAUAAAACUUUGACCAGUGCUUGGUAAGGCUAGAAGGAUUUUCUUGCCACCACAUUAACAUGCAUGUGUGUUUGUUGCUAGCGCUGGCUAGGAACUUAAUUAACAAAGCCAUAAUUUUUUUUUUGGCUAACCUUCUACAUGACCUAUUAGAUAAAUUAUUGUUGUGUUUGUCCUUCCUCAAUAACAGCCUUCUUAGAGCCUCAAAACAAUGUUCUUCAUUUGUUAAGCCAUGACCAUGUCAACCAGCUGCUCAUUGGCACACUCAUUUUCAUGAUGGUGGCCUUGGUCUGAUAGCGUCAAUAUGAUAAUACAAAACACUAAGUACGCCUGAUGGCACAUAUAUUUUCACGUCCAACGAAACAAAUUAUUAAGAAACUGACCUUAUCAGAUCAAAUAUGAGGUAGAAUUUGUAAUUGUUAUGUCCAUCAUCUCCUCUCCUUGCAUGCCACAUACCUGCACUGGUACACAGUACUAAUUAGCUAAAGUAAACAUUUGUUUUCUUUGAAACCGAGAUAAUUUGUGUGCUGCGAAUACAAUAGAACAACAUAUGUUUUCUCUGAUACAUAGUGAUAUCAUUUUUAUAAAUUGCACAAAUAAUUAUAAUUUGAGAUGUGCCUCAAUAUAUUAAGAAAGAUACAUUAAAAAUCUACCAAACUUUAAGGACCAUCAUAUUUUUAUACUGUGAGCUCACACUUUUGCACAUGCAUCACACAGGCUGACUAUAUGUAUAUAAUUAUAUUAACCGCUGAGUAUAAAGAUAUAUCCACCAUGCUGAUAUUAAACUAAUCGUGGACCUGCAGAAAUGCGGACAUUGGCACACAAACUCAAGCAUCACACGUUCAAGUUAAUUAGGCUACUAUAAUGCAUGCAAUUUAAUAGACUAGCACUUAUACUAUGGGUGGAUGCAGGGUGAUGCGACCAAUUACUCCACCAAGCGGAUUUGAUUGGAAAGAACAGAGCCCAUUGCAUAACAACUAAAAAAGAACAAAGUUAUGGUGGUCAAACCUGAGUAGAUGGCCGUGUUAGGUGAUAAGGCACUCGUCGAUGUUCUCACUUCUACAGAAGUCCUCACUACUACAACAAAGUACUGGCACAAGUGAGUAUCGCACCUACUUGAGCUGUAAUAAUAAGGUAAAAAAAAGAUUUUCCCAAUAGAAGUAUGACCAUAUGAUUGAUUAGGCCGGCAAAUUGGGAUGUAAGCAGAAAUCAGUCAACCACAUAAUCCACGACAUCAACCAAGGACUGCACAAUCAAGUUUCACUUCCAUGGGCUGGUGAUAGGCUCCUAAGCUAUAACUAGAAUCAAUUCAAUCACAACAAGAGGCUUCAGCUGGAGUCUCCUCUCCGCACCAACCAGCUAUAAUUUAACCUGUUGGUCAUCAUCAGGGACUGGUAAGUGGUAUGUAGCAAUUUACAACUAGACUGAAGUGAAGCGGAGCGAAAUGGGGGGAAUAAAAUUGGGAGAGGAGAAGCAGCCCGGCUCACCACGAUAGCUUGAUCGCGAGGGUGGUUGUAGCGGCAACUCUCCCCACAGCCGCCGGCCCCCGUGCGGAGGAAUAGUAGACGCAGUUGAUUCGUAGGGGCGCGCUGACGAGGGGCGGCGCACCGGGAAGCCGGGUCGCAGGGGAGUGUUGACGAGGGACGGCACGCCGAGAUGGAAGGUCGCAAGGGAUUGGUGAGGGGCAGCAUGCCGGGGCGGAGGAUCACAGGGGAGUGGUGAGGGGCGGCGCUGAUAGUUCGAGGGGCGGCGGCCGGCGUGGG
rnacentral:lncRNA from 1 species